GUUCUUGCCAUGUUCCUGGCCUUUGAAAAAUCAAUGGGACUGAGCCCUGAGUCUUCCUUAAAGCUUGAGCAGACGAGAUUGCAGAUAUGUUUCAAACAUUUGAACUUUGGUUAUUUCAACUUAAUUUAAAGCACCCUUCAAAAUAUUUUAAUUAUGAAUCCUGUAGAAACCCUUUAUUUGGUUUUUCUUUUCUUCCUCUUGGUUUUUUACAACAGGAAAUAUUAAAUGUCAAGAAAAGUGCCAUGCCAUUAUCCAAAUUAUCUUUUAAUUAGUACCAGUUUAAGCAUUGAUUACAUUGAAAAUCAUUUCAUUUCAGCCACAGCGUCCUGUGUUUACUCAUGAAAACAUUCAAGGUGGGGGGGAACCGUAAGUAUUCUUCUUAUCUUCUAAAUUUGAGACUAACCUUGACCCACAAAACAGACCAUUGAUGUACCAUAAGUGAGGAUGGUACAACUUUGCACAUGAAAGAGACCAGAGUAACUAACAUGAGAUAAGACCUCCCUGAUUAAGAGUAAUUGCAAUAACUUCCAUCUUUCACAACAGAGAACAGAAGCUACUUUUGAAA
rnacentral:lncRNA from 1 species